rnacentral:lncRNA from 1 species
GCAUCAUUCUAUGAGUGAAUUGUAUUUCUUUAUUUCUUUACAGAGGUGAUGAGGCCAUGAGCCCUAGUCAUCACAUGAAGAGGUUUAGCAUCUAGAGUGACAAAUUGAUAUGCUAGAGCUACAUGCCUUCCAAUAGGUAGAUUCAUAGAAAAUAAUUUGCCUCUCAGAGUUCUAGGGAAAGUUGUAUCAACUGUAAUUAGCAGAACAUAAUUAAUAACCCCAUAAAGCCGUAUAACAACUUGUUGAUCAGGGGUUCAAUUAAAAGUAUAAAUUGAUUAUAGCAACAUCUUUACUCUUGCGGCAAAGGUGAAUCUAGUUUGUGCCC